rnacentral:tRNA from 1 species
GCCACCGUAGCUCAGUUGGCAGAGCGAGGCUUUCGUAAAGCCUAGGUCGCUGGUUCAAGUCCAGUCGGUGGCU